rnacentral:rRNA from 1 species
AACGAACGCUGGCGGCAUGCCUAACACAUGCAAGUCGAACGAGAUCCUUCGGGGUCUAGUGGCGCACGGGUGCGUAACGCGUGGGAAUCUGCCCUUAGGUUCGGAAUAACAGUUAGAAAUGACUGCUAAUACCGGAUGAUGACGUUAAGUCCAAAGGUUUAUCGCCUGAGGAUGAGCCCGCGUAGGAUUAGCUAGUUGGUGUGGUAAAGGCGCACCAAGGCGACGAUCCUUAGCUGGUCUGAGAGGCUGAUCAGCCACACUGGGACUGAGACACGGCCCAGACUCCUACGGGAUGCGGGAAUGGGGGAUAUUGCACCGUCGGCGGAGGGCUGAUCCAGCUAUGCCGCGUAAGUGAUGAAGUCCUUGAGGUUGUAAAGCGCUUUUACCCGAGAUGAUAAUGACGGUAUCGGGAGAAUAAGCCCCGGCUAACUCCGUG